rnacentral:rRNA from 1 species
GAUGAACGCUAGCUACAGGCUUAACACAUGCAAGUCGAGGGGCAGCAUGAAAGGAACUUCGGUUCUUUUUGAUGGCGACCGGCGCACGGGUGCGUAACGCGUAUCGAACCUGCCUCAUACUCGGGGAUAGCCUUGCGAAAGUAAGAUUAAUACCCGGCGGUCUCGGAUGGCCGCAUGACUGUCCGAGUGAAGAUUUAUCGGUAUGAGAUGGCGAUGCGUCCCAUUAGCUUGUUGGUGGGGUAACGGCUCACCAAGGCAUCGAUGGGUAGGGGUUCUGAGAGGAAGGUCCCCCACAUUGGAACUGAGACACGGUCCAAACUCCUACGGGAGGCAGCAGUGAGGAAUAUUGGUCAAUGGACGAAAGUCUGAACCAGCCAAGUAGCGUGCAGGAUGACGGCCCUCUGGGUUGUAAACUGCUUUUAGUUGGGAAUAAAAAGAGGGACGUGUCCCUUAUUGUAUGUACCAUCAGAAAAAGGACCGGCUAAUUCCGUGCCAGCAGCCGCGGUAAUACGGAAGGUCCAGGCGUUAUCCGGAUUUAUUGGGUUUAAAGGGAGCGCAGGCGGCGGCGUAAGUCAGUUGUGAAAUCGUGCGGCUUAACCGUGCAAUUGCAGUUGAUACUGCGUCGCUUGAGUGCACACAGGGAUGUUGGAAUUCAUGGUGUAGCGGUGAAAUGCUUAGAUAUCAUGAAGAACUCCGAUCGCGAAGGCAUAUGUCCGGAGUGCAACUGACGCUGAGGCUCGAAAGUGUGGGUAUCAAACAGG